rnacentral:lncRNA from 1 species
GAUUAAGUCUGGGUCAAGGUCGAAUCACAUUUAGAUGUGACUCGAUCAAGUUAAGACCUAAUUUGACUCAGUGGUUAGAGUCUGGAUUGUAGGCUAACCCAAUUAGUUCUGGUUCGACAAUUUGGUAUCUAAGGUAAGUUGGGCAGAUGCGAUCGAAUAGUUUUUAAUUGGGAGCUACUCGACUCGAAUGCAUUCUUGUCGAGUUAAUGGCAUAUCCCUUCCACCGAUCUCACUUACCUAGCCAUAUGUGUCGACCCAGUUCUGAUUUGAGGUGACUAACAAUUCGAGCUAACCCAUGCCACUAGGUUAGUCAUAAUUGUUAUGACUAUAUCAAGUCAAAUUUAAUGAGACCUAA